UAAUACGGAGGAUCCAAGCGUUAUCCGGAUUUAUUGGGUUUAAAGGGUGCGUAGGCGGCUUUUUAAGUCAGGGGUGAAAACUUGCGGCUCAACCGUAAGCUUGCCUUUGAUACUGAGGAGCUUGAAUACACUUGAGGUAGGCGGAAUGUGACAAGUAGCGGUGAAAUGCAUAGAUAUGUCACAGAACACCAAUUGCGAAGGCAGCUUACUAAAGUGAGAUUGACGCUGAGGCACGAAAGCGUGGGGAUCAAACAGGAUUAGAUACCCUGGUAGUCCACGCCCUAAACGAUGAAUACUCGAUGUUAGCGAUAUACAGUUAGCGUCUAAGCGAAAGCGUUAAGUAUUCCACCUGGGGAGUACGCCCGCAAGGGUG
rnacentral:rRNA from 1 species